CUUUUUGGCUCAGAUCAAGUGCCUCAACCUCUUGUGGGCUAAGAUCAAGUGGGGACAUCCGAAUCCCAGGAUCUCUGGGCGUGGGCCUGCGCAUAGGAUGCCUGCCAAUGGAUUUGAGAGUAUCUGAAGUCCUGGGAAAAUGGCAAUGUCCCCCAACAACAGUUUCACUGAUGAAAAGAGGGAUUCAGCCAAGGAUCAGGCUGACGAACAUUACAGACUAGUUCAAGCCAGGCUGCAUCUACCUCCUGGGAGAAAAGAACACAAGCCUUGGGUCUCUGCUCCAGUUGUUUGCUCUAUGAAGAGAGGAUUUCUCAAGCACACCGAUCAAAAAGGGGGAAAACACUUUCCCAUCUCCUGUGCUGGACUGGCUGGAUGAUGCACCCUGGUGCUGUGUCAACAGAAGCAAAGUACAAUAUGUUCCUGAAAGACAGAAAAAAAUGCACUUCCUCUCUGGUCUGACAGGUCUGCUAAUUUUCCCUUGCAAAUCCACUUUGACCUUCAUCACUCUGAUACAAGGGCUAUGUCUACAAGGAGAUCCAGAAGUGUGAUUGCAACUGAUGGCCAUGUGUUAGUUAGCUUUGGACUAGCUCUUGCAGACACUGGGAGCAGUCUGCAUAUAGCAGCUCUGUGCAGUCAGGAAAGCAGUACUUUGUUGCUGGAGCAUGUGUUGCAGCGGUUGCUUUGCUGUUGGUGCUAGUGCAGAGCUAACCCAGGUAUGAUUUGCCAAGCUGCAGUGUAGAUGCCUCCUUGGCAAUCAUGAGAUCACUGCUAAGGAACAAGCCCUCACCCAGCCCACUUGCUCCCAGUCUGUACACACUGCUUGCUGUGUUGGUGCAGCACCAGGACUGCUCUCAGGAGUGCCUCACAGUGGGGCUGCGUGUCCCUG